UGGGACAUCAUUUUUGUCGGUAUCCUUUUUGGAUAAAAGGGAAUUCAACGCUGCCUGGUUUUCCAGGCAGUCAAACGAAGCUGCCCCCGCAACUGUAUGCGGCGAGCAUGUCCUGAUCAAUGCCACUGGGGUAUUUGCCCCGGGAAGGCCAGGAACAUGUUUUGACCCGCGAGCCAGGAGACCUGCCGACAACCGUAACGACAG
rnacentral:ncRNA from 2 species